rnacentral:rRNA from 1 species
CGGGGAAUAUUGGACAAUGGGCGCAAGCCUGAUCCAGCCAUGCCGCGUGUGUUAAGAAGGCCUUUUGGUUGUAAAGCACUUUAAGCGAGGAGGAGGCUACUUGGAUUAAUACUCUAGGAUAGUGGACGUUACUCGCAGAAUAAGCACCGGCUCACUCUGUGCCAGCAGCCGCGGUAAUAAAGAGGGUGCGAGCGUUAAUCGGAUUUACUGGGCGUAAAGCGUGCGUAGGCGGCUUCUUAAGUCGGCUGUGAAAUCCCUGAGCUUAACUUAGGAAUUGCAUUCGAUACUGGGAAGCUAGAGGAUGGGAGAGGAUGGUAGAAUUCCAGGUGUAGCGGUGAAAUGCGUAGAGAUCUGGAGGAAUACCGAUGGCGAAGGCAGCCAUCUGGCCUAAUACUGACGCUGCGGUACGAAAGCAUGGGGAGAAAACAGG